rnacentral:rRNA from 1 species
GACGAACGCUGGCGGCGUGCUUAACACAUGCAAGUCGAACGAAGUGGCGAACGGGUGAGUAACGCGUAAUCAACCUGCCCUUCAGAGGGGGACAACAGUUGGAAACGGCUGCUAAUACCGCAUAGUGAAGGAGGGGAUUGCGUGUGAUUAGCUAGGUGGAGGGGUAACGGCCCACCAAGGCGAUGAUCAGUAGCCGGUCUUAGAGGAAGAACGGCCACAUUGGGACGUAGACACGGCCCAGACUCCUACGGGGGGCAGCAGUGGGGAAUCUUCCGCAAUGGACGAAAGUCUGACGGAGCAACGCCGCGUGAGUGAUGACGGCCUUCGGGUUGUAAAGCUCUGUUAAUCGGGACGCGGUACCGGAAUAGAAAGCCACGGCUAACUACGUGCCAGCAGCCGCGGUAAUAC